GAGAAGAAAGGAUCGGGGAAGGAGGAAGGAAGGGGAAGAAGUGGCAGUGUCGUCCAGCCAGUGGUGGCGGGCUUCGGAGGCGCCGCGAAGCCGGCCGAAGGUGCAGCUGGCGUCGGCGAGCACGCUAGCGGCGGCGGCGAUAGUGAACGGCGAUGGCAGGCAUGGAAAUGGGAAAGGUAGCCGCCUUGCCGCCGUUCAUAGUGUUUCUAGUAACCGUUGUCGAUGGUUUUGAGCCCCAAAUGAUUAGCGACUCUAGGCUUUCUUUUCCGACCAUCACCACCCCUUGAGGCUGCCGGAAUUGCAAGAUCCGACAAGGUGAAAAGAGUUGGGGCAGCCGGCUUUCUAGCUUUUCCUGCGAGCUCCGGCGAGGGAUGGAUGAGCGGAUGCCAUAUCCGGACUCUCUUCAGCUCAAGCUUUCCAAUGGCACCGGUUUUGUGGCGAUCAGACUCUGUUUGAAAAUCAACGGCCGAGAUUGUCCAUAAAUCUCUCCAGAUGAUCGGAGUUCGGAUCGGUAGAUCGGAAGCGGAGAAUGUCAUCAUCAUGUUGUUUUGAGUCCGUUGUUGCGUUCGGAUCGUCGAUCGGACUCUAGCGGCUGGAGGCGAGUCGAUCGAGCGAUCAAGCAUCUCGGUGAUUGUUAGUCUUUCUACAGUUCUUAUCUAGUAACCCGACUCCUUCAUCAUCAGGUUGAUGUAUUUGAUUUUGGUAUGUUUGACUUGUAAAAUUUAGAUUCUCUGCAGUAGAAAUUUUUAGAUUUAUUAGUUCGUAAUUUUAUAUAAGUUUAAGUCUCGCCUAACUAUGCUGGCGGACCAAAUUUAAUUUAUAGUACCCAUUAAUUUAAGAUUAAUUAUGAAAAUAGUGCUUUGGAUUGAGUUCAAA